rnacentral:rRNA from 1 species
GCUUACGGCCAUACCACGUAGAUUAUACCGCUUCUCGUCCGAUCAGCGAAGUUAAACUGCAUUGGGCCUGGUUAGUACUUGGAUGGGAGACCGCCAUGGAAUACCAGGUGCUGUAAGCAU